ACCAGUGUAGUGUAACGGUAGCACGGCAGCCUCCAAAACUGCUUGUGUGGGUUCAAAUCCUACCGCUGGUGCCA
rnacentral:tRNA from 1 species